CGCGUGUGUGUGAGAGAGAGGCUCUCAAAGCUACUCCUCUUAAAAAGCACUUGAAGUCGGUGGCUGAAAAGAAAGUAAAUGAUCAUAAAAUUGUCUUCUGAGAAGAUUAGCAGCCCAGGGAAGCAGCACCGUACCAGCUGGGAGGAGAAUGUCCAUCAUUUCCAGAUGUGGACAUAUGAUCCAGGAGGCAAUUGAAGGUAUGUUGAAAUCAUAUGGUUUGGCUUAUGAAUUUGGAUUGGUCAA
ensembl:lncRNA